ACACUUCCUAAAACCUAACCACUCCGCUUCUGACAUAGAGCUACCUAUUGAAAAAAUAAGAAAUAACCGCGACUCCAUCCGCAAAGCAAGGUUUAUGGUCUAAACAAGGGCCCUGUAUCUUGUACAACGCGGUCAGCUUCUCAAAUGGGCAUGACCUCGUUCGACUACAAAAUUAAAAUUGUGGUUCUUUGACUUUCCCCAGAGAGGGAAGCACCUAUCUUGAUAAUAAUCCUUUUUUCAAAGACACCAUUGACUCUCUAGGACAUCUCUUCUCUCAAAUUAAAACUUAUUAAGAAAAAAAAAAUUAAAAAUGUCUUGAUGUUCAAGAAGAAAUUUAAUGUGUUCGUGGCUUGAAGUUUUCAUUAAUAAUAAUGCUCGUCCGACUCUUGUGGUUUCCCUGUGUUUUAGGUCAGUCAGAAGAGCUCGCCCGUCUUUUUUGCAUGCUGUCGUCAUGGCAUCCCUUGUCUGCACUGUGGUACAUGUUAUUCGUCAUGUAUGAACAAGUUACUGGCUUGCGUGUAUGGUUCUUUUUCUGAAACUACCUCGAUACACAUCCAGCCGUGACGUAACAGCGUCUGUCAAUCAUUCCAAGCUAAGCUCCAUAUGUUUGCGUGCAGGCUACCAAGAACGUGUUGAAGGCAUCACGCAAGCACACUCAGAAGAUCUGGUCAACCAAUCAAUUAAUCAUCAAAGAAAUAUGGCCGAUCGUUAGAACAUAUUUGUAUCCGAAUUUUAGCUUGUUGAACCUUACACGUUCAACUUUUCAGACUCCGAUACUCCUGUCAUUAUAAAGAGGGUAGCAAGAAAAUACAUAUUACAGCAAAAUAUAUUUUUUUCGAAGAUGACAACGGUAGAACAAAAUGAUGUCAAUCCAUAUAGAAUAAAUAUUCCAUAUUUUA